rnacentral:tRNA from 1 species
GUAGGUACAGCUCAACUGGUAGAGUGCAUGCUCAGCAUGCAUGAGGCCCUGAGUUCAAUCCCCAGUACCUCCA